rnacentral:rRNA from 1 species
GAAUGCUGACAUAAGUAACGAUAAAGCGGGUGAAAAGCCCGCUCGCCGGAAGACCAAGGGUUCCUGUCCAACGUUAAUCGGGGCAGGGUGAGUCGACCCCUAAGGCGAGGCCGAAAGGCGUAGUCGAUGGGAAACGGGUUAAUAUUCCCGUACUUGGUGUUACUGCGAAGGGGGGACGGAGAAGGCUAUGUUGGCCGGGCG